AUAGGCCAUCCAGACUAUCUUGACAUAUGUCCGUAGCCCAGCUCUCUCCUCGCUUAUCUCUGAUCCUUCUCCUACCUGCUGCCCCCAGGUAAUGUGUCUGCACAUUCUUUGUGUGUGUACAUGAAGUUUGAGAGGCGUUUUGCUCAAGACCGCGCAACGAUUCCAUAUGACACCGCAUCGUUGUCCAUGCCUAUCAUGUUCAUCCAGAGCCCCUGUUGAUCUUCAGAUAAGAGAAAAGCUCAAAAUUAAAGAAGGCUUGUUUAUUGAUCAUGUCAAGGAUAGGUAUCGACGGCGAUGCGCUGGCUAUGGCCAUGGUUGUGCGGUUCUUGCGCAAUAACGUUUUGAUCUCGAUCUCCUCUCCUCUCUCCAAAGUUUUUCUUUCUUUACUCCUCUGAUGGAACAAUGCAUGCAUUUACUGAGUUUUUGUCUCCUGUUCUUCCUCGUCUGCAUGUUCUUGAAUGGUUUGGUCGCUCUUAUUCUUCUGUGAUUUCCUUGUCCAUCAUUAUCUCAGGGCAUGCAUGAAAGCUCUAUAAAUUAAGAUGGAACCUUUUCUUUUAGUUUUGUUGAUGAUGACUAAUUUGGUUUGUUGCUAGCUACUAGCUGUUGUUUCCUGUCUGAAAACUAUGAAGCUAUCUUGUAAGGUAGGUAAGACGAAUGCGGAGGUUCUUACUACUUCGGCCCUUGCCUAGAGCUUCAGAAAUAUAAACUAAGAUUACCAUGAAGAACAGGUGUGUGCAACUUUAUUUAUGGUAUUGAUGAAAACUCAAUCUAGUAAACAUCAUGUAUGAUCCAGUAGAUCGAUCGAUUAGAUUCAUCGUACCUGAAUCUAUUUUUGCUUACCGUACUGUAGCUAGUCUUUCACCUUCAGUCUUUGCAAGUUAUAUUUUUUUAUACUAGGUUUCGUUCUUGCAUACUUGCAAAUGCUCUUGUAAUUGAGUUUUCAGAGUUCUCCACUUGCAAUAACAAAUAUUUUGGUUGUCUUUCCAUGAAGCAGAUCAGAUGGCUAGAUAGAUGGUAAAUGAUCUGAAAAAUAUAAAAGAAGAUUACAGGCACUGUUUGACAAUACUUAACUGAAUCUAUAUGCAACUUAUCUUUCAGUACAUUGCACUGGAAUUUGCCAUUUGCUAGCACUUGCUGCCUAUCUGUAGUGCUUAUGGGAUUCAUGUCAGAACUAACUACUACCUGUAUUUUGUAGGUUUAAGAGUGUAAAUUAUUGGUCCCCUUCUUGCAUUUUCUCUCAAUUUAUUCAGCAUCCAGAGUGCUAUAAAUUCACAUCAUCAAUUCAUCAUCUCCAAUAUAAUGCAGCUGCAAGUUUCAUACAUGGAUGUGGCUUGUUUCCGACAUCGCAGAGACAAAUACCCAGUGUUCUAGAUUCCAGAAAUGUUAUCAGUGACAAUGUGUGUUCAGGCUAGGUGCCAAAGGAAGUACAGAUAAGCUACAGUACAUCAGGAAUGAGAGGAGUGCAUCAAAAUACUGAAGACCAUGAUGGAUAUUUCGAAAUUGCAAAUGAGGGGUGGCCGGUCUGUAAAAACAGUUUUCUCCUAAAAGAUCGACAUUGCUCAAGCGACCUUAAUCUAGAAAAUAAUUUCAAAGGAAACUAGGAAUCAUGGCAUGGAUCAAUGAGGAGGCACUUUCUAAGCCAAGUGAUCAAGUCAAGGUGCAAACUUAUCACGAAGGUCUUUCAGAACUCAUUCGAAGUGUUUUUGCGGCCUGCAAUCCUAAUCGGCCAAUAACACAUACGCCUUCUGGCCAAACUCCUCUACCCUUACUCUCAUAAAUAGGAGCUAACCUUCAUAUGAGGUCAAUGUACCAAGGAAAGGUUGAUAACAAUCAAAAUCGAAAGGAUGGAGUAACGAUUGCGUGAGUGCUAGUCCUCAGAAUUAAUUGGCCAGACCAUCAAACAUUGUUCCUCAUUGAUUGGUAGUAAUUAAUUGUCUAGACAUUGUGGAAUGAUGGGAAGGUAUCUAGCUUUUUCUCUAUG
rnacentral:sRNA from 1 species